rnacentral:rRNA from 1 species
CACGUAGGGCGCGAGCGUUGUCCGGAAUUAUUGGGCGUAAAGAGCUCGUAGGCGGCCUGUUGCGUCCGCUGUGAAAGCCCGGGGCUCAACCCUGGAAUGCCGGUGGAAACUGUCGAGCUAGAGUCCGGAAGAGGCGAGUGGAAUUCCUGGUGUAGCGGUGAAAUGCGCAGAUAUCAGGAGGAACACCAAUGGCUAAGGCAGCUCGCUGGGACGGUACUGACGCUGAGACGCGAAAGCGUGGGGAGCAAACAGG